rnacentral:misc_RNA from 1 species
AAGGAUAUUUCAUAAGAUGAUCAUAAUUUACUAAAAAAUCUUAACAAAAUUAAAUUAUAGAGAAUCGCAAAGUCCUGCACGUGCCCAAACAACAACUAAUGUAUCUCAUCCAGAGCAAAUAAAAACUGCCACAACAUCGGCUAACAAAUUUUGCAGUCCACAAACUUCCAUGUUCAACCAGUCCAAAGAAUCUCUUGCAAGAAUUAACAUGAAUAAGUUAUCAACAUCAAUUCUAGGACCAUCAAAUAAGAACUACCUUGCAGAUGGUUCUCUCUAUAAUUGGGACAGGGAAACUGUAUUGAUCUUUGGAGGAAUCGAU